UUCUUCCAUAUCAAUAAGUGUUAUAAAAAUAAGUAUAAAUCAAUUUUGUUUGUUGCAUAAAAAGAGAAAAAAUAUGACAAAAAUUUUCAUGUUUUUUUUCGUGCUAUGGUUUGUUUUCCUUGCUUUUGUUGUAAGUGACAUACGUGCGAUCGCAGAACAAUCUUCGCCGUGUAAAGACGAUGAUGACUGUCCUUACAUAUGUCAACAUUGGUUUAUGCGUUGUGUUGAUGGUAAAUGUGUCUGUUAGUUAAGUUGAGAAUUAAUACUACGUUAAUAACUUAUGUCAAAGCUUAUAAAUUUAUUAGAAAUCUUAAUAUUGUCACUCUUAUCAAAGGUAUCUUUAGCUUAUUUUUGAAAAAUAUCAUUUAUAGUUUCUCAAUCAUAUUGACAGUGACGUAUUUCUCAUUUAUUGAAAGAAUCCUUCUAUUGUUUAAA